UAGGGGGUACUGCCUGCCCGGUGAAUUUUCAACGGCCGCGGUAUCCUGACCGUGCAAAGGUAGCACAAUAACUAGUCUCUUGAUUGGGGACCGGUAUCAAUGGCAAGACGAGGGCUUAACUGUCUCCCCUCUUUUAACUGAAACUUCUCUAGCAGUGCAAAAGCUGCUAUAAUAGUGUAAGACGAGAAGACCCUAUCGAGCUUGAGAGUAGGAAAUUAGGGUACUUUUUAUUGUCGGGUGCCGAUGAAUAGCUUUUUAGUUAAUAUAAUCUCGCUCCCCUCUAAAAAGUCCCUCUCAUUUUAGGUCUCUUUGGUUGGGGCAACCGCGGGGAAUAUACAUCCCCCGUAUUGAACUAUUAUAAGAUACCAUUUCGACGUUUGCGCUUCGCAUCAAUCUAUGAUCCAAAGUAUUUUGAUCAAUGAACAAAGUUACCGUAGGGAUAACAGCGUAAUCCCUCCUAAAAGUUCGCAUUGCUGGAGGGGUUUGCGACCUCGAUGUUGGAUCGGGUCAUCCUGAUGGUGCAGCCGCUAUCAAGGGUUGGUCUGUUC
rnacentral:rRNA from 1 species